UCAGAAAAAACACAUGCAAGUCGAACGAACUCGAAAGAGAGAGUGGCGGACGGGUGAGUAACGCGUAAGAAUCUAGCUUUUGGACGGGGAAAACAGUGGGAAACUGCUGCUAAUACCGGAUGAGCCGAGAGGUAAAAGGAGAAAUCCGCCAAAAGAUGAGCUUGCGUCCGAUUAGCUAGUUGGGGGUGUAAGAGACUCCCAAGGCGACGAUCGGUAGCUGGUCUGAGAGGGGGAUCAGCCACACUGGGACUGAGACACGGCCCAGACUCCUACGGGAGGCAGCAGUG
rnacentral:rRNA from 1 species